rnacentral:lncRNA from 1 species
CAUCUUUAUAAGUGACGUGUUGAUGACGUCCAUCAGCAAGUUGAACGUGGUAAUAACCUGACACUUUACCCUGUCUAUCUCCAACUCUCGUAUCGCCAAAACUAGUGUAAUCAUCGCCCUUGACUUCGUAACUGAACUUUUAAAUUGCCAAUCUUACACUGGAUUCGUGUGCUGGAAGAGGAUUGUAAGGCUUGCUGGGAGGUGGUUUUGCUGUUUGUUUGUCGUAUCGAGCUUCAGAAACGACGAUGGAAACCAAAACCACGAGAAUAAGCAACUGUCAUCAAAGAGUGGAUUGCAAGUCACUGUUAAGACACUCGAAAGACAACUGACAGUCCAUCAGGUGUUGAUUGUUAUGGUAUAUAUACUGUGGGCUUAGACCAUCAUCACAAAUUGAAAAUGGCUGGGCCAAUUCGAUAUACCAGCCUCACUCUACAAUGUGGGAAAAUAAUCGACAGUGACAAAAACCUUAACCGAGUAAAAAAGCUAUCAAGGGUGUAGUCGAUUUUCACUGAACACCACCAACUGGUUAACGCUUUCUCCCCCCAAUGUAAUUUUGCACAUCGUCAGAAUAUUUUGCCUUCCGUAUUGAUCCUGUCCAGGGUUCUCACCUGUUCGUCUUGCAUUAGAAGUGUAGCUUUGCAUUACAUAAUGAUGAGAGCACAAUGUGAUACGAGACAGUUUCUACCAGAUGUUGAAUAAAUUGGGCUUUCACUGAUCGAUGCCACAAUCGACCACAACCAGCAUCCAUCGUAAGAUCAUGGCGGAGAUUAGAAGGAAAAACUAUACUCUUGAUGUCUCCACACGCAACAUUAAUUAUCAAGCCGCAUCAUCAACGUAUUUUGCGUUUCACCAUAGCGGAAAUCGUCUGUUUUCUUUAUGUUUCCCGCUUGCGUUCAUUGUCGCAACAGUCUGGUAUCCAAUUGAUCUCAACAAUUCCGUCGAAUGGAGUCGAUUCCGAGCUGCCGUUGCAAGGAAAUUGGCCGUCUGCUUGCUUACCGCAAGGUGAAUUCAAAUUGUAUUCAAAGUCUACAACGUAGACGGCAUUAAUACCAAAAUUACGCUGAAUAAUUCAUGAAGAACAAUGGGAUACAUUGACAAUGAAGGUGAUGCCAAUGGUUUAUCUUAUGAAAGCUUUCGUUCUUCAAAAGAAAAGAGUAAGAUCUUGGGCCUUGAAUUCAUUCCGUUUUGACUCUGUGAGAUCAAAAGGAAACGACCAAGACAAAGAGAAAUAAUAAAAAGUUACAUGGUUUCUCUUUUUCGCUAUAGCCGGAGAAGAAUUGAAUGCGUACAACAACAACAACAACAAAACUUGGUAUAUUAAAAGCCUGCAGGUCUUUUAUUGUUCAGUUUAAAACAAAAAAUUUGAAUCGGUGGAUGUUGCAAUAUCAUUAUGAAUAAAGAAGAGAGGAGGCCCCUCCUAACGGGAAAUCUUUUAUGGUGAGAAAAAAAUUCGACUUGUGACCGGAGGUGGCAAUUCAAAAAUAUCUGGAGCAAGGUGAAUGCUAAUAUACAACAUACAGUUGUAGAACGGGCUGCUUUUUAAUCAUAAAAUAAAAUAAAAAAAUAAAAUAAAAAUAUUUUCAUAUUAUGGAAAUGAGAUGCGCUGCAGGAAGAGAGUGAAAGUUUCACUUGGCCCAAGACCA